GAAUCGUGGGUGGGAUGGCCGUGGGCCGCCUCUUUCUAAGUCGGCUUCGAGCACCCUUCAGUUCCAUGGCCAAGAGCCCACUCGAGGGCGUUUCCUCCUCCAGAGGCCUGCACGCGGGGCGCGGGCCCCGAAGGCUCUCCAUCGAAGGCAACAUUGGUAACAUCCUCAAGCAAAUCAGAAUGAGAGCACCCAUUCAGGAAACCUGAACAGGGAAGGUGAACCCCUGUCCUGACCAAAAUUGGGCCUGCACUGCCCAAAGUCUUGGAAACUUGCUGGAUAUGAUGUACCGGGAGCCAGCACGAUGGUCCUACACAUUCCAGACAUUUUCCUUUUUGAGCCGCCUGAAAGUACAGCUGGAGCCCUUCCCUGAGAAACUCUUACAGGCCAGGAAGCCAGUACAGAUCUUUGAGAGGUCUGUGUACAGUGACAGUGACAUCGAGUGGCAUAUCUAUCAGGACUGGCAUUCUUUUCUCCUGUGGGAGUUUGCCAGCCGGAUCACAUUACAUGGCUUCAUCUACCUCCAGGCUUCUCCCCAGGCUCCACUUUGAGGCUCUGAUGAACAUUCCAGUGCUGGUGUUGGAUGUCAAUGAUGAUUUUUCUGAGGAAGUAACCAAACAGGAAGACCUCAUGAGGGAGGUAAACACCUUUGUAAAGAAUCUGUAACCAAUACCAUGAUGUUCAGGCUAUGAUCUGGGCUCCCUGACUUUCUGAAGCU
rnacentral:sRNA from 1 species